GGUGCUCGUAUAGAGUACUAUAUCUUGUAAACUCCUUUACCAACUGGUUCACAAUACUCUUCAGUUCCAUCAGUAAAGUGAAGAGUGCAGCCUUCCGACAAGCAGCAAUUGGUGCAGUCUGUGUAGAUCUUCUCUCCAUCACAGUCCACGUACUCGAUCCCCAAUAUGCAAUAGGCUGGGCAAAUCUGGUCAGGCCCAGGCCUGACGGCCGUGACCUCCACAUUUGCUCCCAGAAGGAUCAUCCCCGUUUUCAGUACCAAAAUCAUUUUAAAUCAUGUGCAAAUCAAUUGAGAGAUGGGAUGAAUAGUUUCAUUUUUGGAUAUAUAUAUAUAUAUAUAUUGAAACUGCCCCAGCAGGUUUAACUCGUAUACCAAAGAAUAAAUUGUACAUACCACAAAAAAGAAUAGCCAUUGCACCAAUCUUGCUGAUUGCCAUGAUUCCUUGUCUUCCAAAAGUUUGCCUUUGGUUUGAAAUCGCUUGGGCUUAUACAGAAGUUCUUAUAUAGACCGAGAAGAGUAGAGAGUGAGAGUUGAUCGUUCUAUUAGGUGCAAUUAUU
rnacentral:lncRNA from 1 species